rnacentral:lncRNA from 1 species
AUGUUGUCUCUCCUUCAUCACCUUCAACUAUUCAUCUGUCUCUCUCUAGUGGUGUCUCUCCUUCAUCACCUUCAACUAUUCAUCUGUCUCUCUCUUGUGGUGUCUCUCCUUCUCUACUUUCAACUAUUCAUCUGUCUAUCUCUAGUGGUGUCUCUCCUUCUCUACCUCCAACUAUUCAUCUGUCUCUCUCUAGUGGUGUCUCCUUCUCUACCUUCAACUAUUCAUCUGUCUCGCUCUAGUGGUGUCUCUCCACUUUCAACUAUUCAUCUGUCUCUCUCUAGUGGUGUCUCUCCUUCUCCACCUUCAACUAUUCAUCUGUUUGUUUUUCUAGUGGUGUCUCUCCUUCUCCACCUUCAACUAUUCAUCUGUCUAUCUCUAGUGGUGUCUCUCCACUUUCAACUAUUCAUCUGUCUAUCUCUAGUGGUGUCUCUCCUUCUCCACCUUCAACUAUUCAUCUGUCUCUCUCUAGUGGUGUCUCUCCACUUUCAACUAUUCAUCUCUCUCUCUCUAGUGGUGUCUCUCCACUUUCAACUAUUCAUAUGUCUCUCUAGUGGUGUCUCUCCUUCUCCACCUUCAACUAUUCAUCUGUCUAUCUCUAGUGGUGUCUCUCCUUCUCCACCUUCAACUAUUCAUCUGUCUCUCUCUAGUGGUGUCUCUCCUUCACCACCAACUAUUCAUCUGUCUCUCUCUAGUGGUGUCUCUCCUUCUCCACCUUCAACUAUUUAUCUGUCUAUCUCUAGUGGUGUCUCUCCUUCUCCACUUUCAACUAUUCAUCUGUAUAUCUCUAGUGGUGUCUCUCCUUCACCACCAACUAUUCAUCUGUUUGUUUUUCUAGUGGUGUCUCUCCUUCUCCACCUUCAACUAUUCAUCUGUCUCUCUCUAGUGGUGUCUCUCCUUCAUCACCUUCAACUAUUCAUCUGUCGAUCUCUAGUGGUGUCUCUCCACUUUCAACUAUUCAUCUGUCUCUCUCUAGUGGUGUCUCUCCUUCUCCACCUUCAACUAUUCAUAUGUUUGUUUUUCUAG